rfam:Candidatus Brocadia caroliniensis isolate 26THWARD NODE_53_length_23628_cov_20.6597_ID_105, whole genome shotgun sequence.
UACGAUAAGGGCAAACCCUGAGUGAUCAGGGGACGCAAAGCAAAGGGUCUUUGUCCGUACAGAGAAGUACGGAUAAAAUAAAAUUUUCAGGCGUAUACGGAAAUACGUAUUACAAAAGAUAGCCUUACUGCCGAAG